rnacentral:rRNA from 1 species
UACGUAGGGGUGCAAGCGUUUGUCCGGAAUUAUUGGGCGUAAAGAGCUCGUAGGCGGUUCGUCGCGUCGGCUGUGAAAAACCUGAGGCUCAACCUCAGGCCUGCAGUCGAUACGGGCGGACUUGAGUACUGCAGGGGAGACUGGAAUUCCUGGUGUAGCGGUGAAAUGCGCAGAUAUCAGGAGGAACACCGGUGGCGAAGGCGGGGUCUCUGGGGCAGUAACUGACGCUGAGGAGCGAAAGCGUGGGGAGCGAACAGG